GCGCCUUUAAUUCAACUGGUAGAAUACCGGACUUUUAAUCCGGGGGUUGUGGGUUCAACUCCCACAGGGCGCACCA
rnacentral:tRNA from 1 species